UCCGAUUGAUCCCGUCGGACCCCACUGCUAUCGAGAUGGGACUAAGGUAUGCUAGUCGAACGACCAGAACUAUGUCUGGAAGUGGCACACUGCUCAGUAACACGUAGCUAACCUACCCUUAGGACGUGGAUACCCCCGAGAAAUUGGGGCUAAUCCGCGAUAGGUGUAAUGUCCUGGAAUGGUAUUACGCCUAAAGGUGUAUCAUACAUGUUUGAUAUACGCCUAAGGAUGGGGCUGCGGCCGAUCAGGCUGUUGGUGAGGUAAUGGCUCACCAAACCUUUGACCGGUACGGGCCAUGAGAGUGGUAGCCCGGAGAUGGACACUGAGACAAGGGUCCAGGCCCUAAGGGGCGCAGCAACCGCGAAACCUCCACAAUGCACUCACGUGCGAUGGGGCUAUCUCGAGUGCCACCUGAUGAAGGUGGCUUUUCCUAGGUCUUCAAAGCCUUGGGAAUAAGAGGGGGGCAAGACUGGUGUCAGCCGCCGCGGUAACACCAGCCCCUCGAGUGGUGGGGAUGAUUAUUUGGCCUAAAGCGUCCGUAGCCGGCCGAGCAAGUCUUCCGUUAAAUCCAGCGUCUCAAGCGUUUGACUGCGGGAGAUACUACACGGCUAGAGAGUGGGAGAGGUCAGCGGUAUUCUGGGGGUAGGGGCGAAAUCCUUUGAUCCCCGGAGGACCACCAGUGGCGAAGGCUGCUGACUAGAACACGUCUGACGGUCAGGGACGAAAGCUGGGGUAGCGAACCGGAUUAGAUACCCGGGUAGUCCCAGCCGUAAACGAUGCAUGCUAGGUGUUGGUUGGCCACGAGCCACCCCAGUGCCGCAGGGAAGCCGUUAAGCAUGCCGCCUGGGAAGUACGAUCGCAAGAUUGAAACUUAAAGGAAUUGGCGGGGGAGCACCACCAGGCGUGAAGCCUGCGGUUUAAUUGGAGUCAACGCCGGGAACCUUACCGGGAGCGACAGCAGAAUGAAGGCCAGAUUGAAGAUCUUGCCAGACGAGCUGAGAGGAGGUGCAUGGCCGUCGCCAGUUCGUGCCGUGAGGUGUUCUCUUAAGUGAGAUAACGAACGAGACCCGUGCCACAUGUUGCCACCAGUAUCUAAAGGAUAGCUGAGCACUCUUGUGGGACCGCAGCCGAUAAGGCUGAGGAAGGUACGGGCAACGGCAGGUCAGUAUGCCCCGAAUCUCCCGGGCCACACGCGGGCUGCAAUGGUACAGACAGAGGGCUGCCACCCCGAAAGGGGGAGCCAAUCCCUAAACUGUACCUCAGUUGGGAUCGAGGGUUGCAACCCACCCUCGUGAACAUGGAAUGCCUAGUAACCGCCAGUCAUCAUCUGGCGGUGAAUACGUCCCUGCUCCUUGCACACACUGCCCGUCGAACCACCCGAAUGAGGUUUGGGUGAGGAAUGGUCGAAUGUUGGCCGUUUCGAACCUGGGCCUCGUAAGGAGGGUUAAGUCGUAACAAGGUG
rnacentral:rRNA from 1 species